GAUGAACGCUGGCGGCGUGCCUAAUACAUGCAAGUCGAGCGAACGGACGAGAAGCUUGCUUCUCUGAUGUUAGCGGCGGACGGGUGAGUAACACGUGGAUAACCUACCUAUAAGACUGGGAUAACUUCGGGAAACCGGAGCUAAUACCGGAUAAUAUUUUGAACCGCAUGGUUCAAAAGUGAAAGACGGUCUUGCUGUCACUUAUAGAUGGAUCCGCGCUGCAUUAGCUAGUUGGUAAGGUAACGGCUUACCAAGGCAACGAUGCAUAGCCGACCUGAGAGGGUGAUCGGCCAACCGGGAACGGAAACCCGGCCCAGACUCCCACGGGAGGCAGCAGGGGGGAAUUUUCCGAAGUGGGAGAAAGCCGGAAGGAGCAACGCCGGGGGGGGGAUGAAGGUUUUGGGAUCUUAAAACCUUUUUAUUAGGGAAAAAAAAAUGGGAAAGAACCUGGGCAAAUCUUGACGGUACCUAAUCAAAAAGCCCCGGUUAACUACGU
rnacentral:rRNA from 1 species